rnacentral:SRP_RNA from 1 species
GCUGGGCGUGGUGGCGCAUGCCUGUAGUCCUAGCUACUUGGGAGGCUGAAGUGGGAGGCUCACUUGAGCCCAGGAGUUCAAAGCUGCAGUGUGCUAUGAUCAUGCCACUGCACUCCAGCCUGGGUGACAGAGCAAGACCUCGUCUCUA